ACACAGUCUACAUGUCCUUAUGCAUAUAUUGGAUCUUAUCGACUAUGGAAUCCAAUUUAUAGCACCUAACCUAAUUGUCAAUAUCCAAUCAUUUGUCAAGUAUAGCUCGUUGACUAUAGAUUGGAUAAGCUGAUGACAUUGGGUUAAUCUGGUCAAGAAUCAUGGUUUAAUUUCUAAAAGCUAAGGACUAUUCUUGGAUUUUGAGCCAGAAUAUAUAAUUG
rnacentral:lncRNA from 1 species